GUGGCUGUAGCUCAGUUGGCAGAGCACCGGGUUGUGGUCCCGGGUGUCGGGGGUUCAAAUCCCCUCAGUCACCCCA
rnacentral:tRNA from 7 species